rnacentral:rRNA from 1 species
GAGCGCUAGCGACAGGCUUAACACAUGCAAGUCGAGGGGUAACAGGGUAGCAAUACCGCUGACGACCGGCGCACGGGUGAGUAACGCGUAUGCAACCUGCCUAGUAACUGGGGGAAUAGCUCCCUGAAAGGGGAAUUAACACCGCAUAACACUAUUGAUUCGCAUGGAUUAGUAGUUAAAUGUAGCGAUACAGGUUAUAGAUGGGCAUGCGUGACAUUAGCUAGUUGGUGAGGUAACGGCUCACCAAGGCUACGAUGGUCUAGGGGUUCUGAGAGGAAGGUCCCCCACACUGGUACUGAGACACGGACCAGACUCCUACGGGAGGCAGCAGUGAGGAAUAUUGGUCAAUGGGCGCAAGCCUGAGCCAGCCAUGUCGCGUGCAGGAAGACUGCCCCCUAUGGGUUGUAAACUGCUUUUAUAGUAGAAGAAACACAUCUACGCGUAGAUGUCUGCCAGUAUACUAUGAAUAAGCAUCGGCUAACUCCGUGCCAGCCGCUGC